AGUCUCAGUUGUUUUACACUGGCGGAAGAACUACUUUACGAUUAAAAAGUAUAUAAAUCAACGCCAUAUUCCCCCAUGCUAAACCCCAUUGAAAUAAUCUGGGGAAAAAUCAAAAUGCAUGUAAAGGGGCACAUCUCAAACCCAGUCAUAAAUGGGCCAAACCUUGUUGAACAACGGCUGCAAUAUUUGGAGAAGUUGGUGGAGGAGACUGCGCGAGAGAAUUUCAGCACGCAACAUCUUUCCAUGAAAAUGCUUUAUCUUUACAAGAUAUGCAAGUUGGGACAUAAUAAACUUGCAUUUUUAAUAACAUCUAAAUAAUUUCUGAAUAAAAACGAGUUUCUCAUUUCCAAAUGA